CGGUGCGAUCAUACCAGCACGAAUGCACCGGAUCCCAUUAGAACUCCGAAGUUAAGUGUGCUUGGGCGAGAGUAGUACUCGCAAAAGGCUUAAGGUUCGCGGUGA
rnacentral:rRNA from 1 species